rnacentral:rRNA from 1 species
CGCUAGCUACAGGCUUAACACAUGCAAGUCGAGGGGCAGCAUGACGAUAGCUUGCUAUUGUCGAUGGCGACCGGCGCACGGGUGAGUAACGCGUAUCCAACCUUCCCGUUGCUAGGGGAUAACCUUGCGAAAGUAAGACUAAUACCCAAUGACGUCUCUAGAAGACAUCUGAAAGGGAUUAAAGAUUUAUCGGUGAUGGAUGGGGAUGCGUCUGAUUAGCUUGUUGGCGGGGUAACGGCCCACCAAGGCAACGAUCAGUAGGGGUUCUGAGAGGAAGGUCCCCCACAUUGGAACUGAGACACGGUCCAAACUCCUACGGGAGGCAGCAGUGAGGAAUAUUGGUCAAUGGACGCAAGUCUGAACCAGCCAAGUAGCGUGCAGGAUGACGGCCCUAUGGGUUGUAAACUGCUUUUAUGCGGGGAUAAAGUGUGGGACGUGUCCCAUAUUGUAGGUACCGCAUGAAUAAGGACCGGCUAAUUCCGUG